UGAAUACUCCCACCGUCCCAAAAUUCUUGUCUUAGAUUAGUCUAGAUACGGAUGUAUCUAAUACUAAAACGUGACUUGAUACAUCCGUAUUUAGACAAAUCUAAGACAAGAAUUUUGGGAUGGACGGAGUAUUAA
rfam:Triticum aestivum genome assembly, contig: Triticum_aestivum_CS42_TGACv1_scaffold_000830_1AL